AUUCCAUCCCGAGCGACCGAGAGACCUGGCUCGUCGACGUCGCAGCAACCUCCCUCGAGGACGGUGCUAACGCCAGGAGCGAUGGAGG
rnacentral:ncRNA from 2 species